rnacentral:rRNA from 1 species
UACGGGGGGGCAAGCGUUGUUCGGAAUUACUGGGCGUAAAGGCUCGUAGGCGGCCAACUAAGUCGGAUGUGAAUCCCAGGCUUAACCUGGAACUGCAUCCGAUACUGGAUGGCUUGAGUGUGGAGAGGAAUGCGGAAUUCCAGGUGUAGCGGUGAAAUGCGUAGAUAUCGAGACAUCAGUGCGAAGCGGCUCCUGACAGACUGACGAUCAGCUCGAAGCGUGGAGCAACAG